CGGUAGAGGGGGCAACCCCUCGAGAGUGGCGAACGGGUGAGUAAUAUAUCGGAACGUGCCCAGUCGUGGGGGAUAACGUAGCGAAAGUUACGCUAAUACCGCAUACGAUCUACGGAUGAAAGCGGGGGACUCGCAAGAGCCUCGCGCGAUUGGAGCGGCCGAUAUCAGAUUAGGUAGUUGGUGGGGUAAAGGCUCACCAAGCCAACGAUCUGUAGCUGGUCUGAGAGGACGACCAGCCACACUGGAACUGAGACACGGUCCAGACUCCUACGGGAGGCAGCAGUGGGGAAUUUUGGACAAUGGACGCAAGUCUGAUCCAGCCAUUCCGCGUGCAGGAUGAAGGCCCUCGGGUUGUAAACUGCUUCUGUACGGAACGAAAAGGUCUCUAUUAAUACUAGGGGCUCAUGACGGUACCGUAAGAAUAAGCACCGGCUAACUACGUGCCAGCAGCCGCGGUAAUACGUAGGGUGCAAGCGUUAAUCGGAAUUACUGGGCGUAAAGCGUGCGCAGGCGGUUGUGUAAGACAGAGGUGAAAUCCCCGGGCUCAACCUGGGAACUGCCUUUGUGACUGCAUAGCUAGAGUACGGUAGAGGGGGAUGGAAUUCCGCGUGUAGCAGUGAAAUGCGUAGAUAUGCGGAGGAACACCGAUGGCGAAGGCAAUCCCCUGGACCUGUACUGACGCUCAUGCACGAAAGCGUGG
rnacentral:rRNA from 1 species